rnacentral:rRNA from 1 species
CAGAGAGUGCAAACGUUGUUCGGAAUUACUGGGCCUAAAGCGCACGUAGGCGGCGUCGUAAGUGUCAGGUGAAAUCCCACGGCUCACCCGUGGAACUGCCCGGCAUACUGCGACGCUCGAGUGUGGUAGGGAAGAGCGGAACUCCUGGUGGAGCGGUGAAAUGCGUAGAUAUCAGGAGGAACACCGGUGGCGAAGGCGGCUCUUUGGUCCACAACUGACGCUGAGGUGCGAAAGCCAGGGGAGCAAACGGGAUUAGAUACCCCGGUAGUCCUGGCUGUAAACGAUGGGCACUAGCUUGGGGUCUCCCUGUGUGAUCCCAGGUGAAGUAAAAAUGAUAAGUACCCCGCCUGGGGAGUAUGGUCGCAAGGCUG